rnacentral:snoRNA from 1 species
CCUUUCUACAUGAUGAAGCAUUUGGAUACAAAACAAAACACGCACCGAGAGCGCAAAACCAUGUGGAUAUCUCCGUUGCCUUCCUUCUGAUCUAGAC